rnacentral:rRNA from 1 species
GAUGAACGCUGGCGGCGUGCCUAAUACAUGCAAGUCGAGCGAACGGACGAGAAGCUUGCUUCUCUGAUGUUAGCGGCGGACGGGUGAGUAACACGUGGAUAACCUACCUAUAAGACUGGGAUAACUUCGGGAAACCGUAGCUAAUACCGGAUAAUAUUUUGAACCGCAUGGUUCAAAAGUGAAAGACGAUCUUGCUGUCACUUAUAGAUGGAUCCGCGCUGCAUUAGCUAGUUGGUAAGGUAACGGCUUACCAAGGCAACGAUGCAUAGCCGACCUGAGAGGGUGAUCGGCCACACUGGAACUGAGACACGGUCCAGACUCCUACGGGAGGCAGCAGUAGGGAAUCUUCCGCAAUGGGCGAAAGCCUGACGGAGCAACGCCGCGUGAGUGAUGAAGGUCUUCGGAUCGUAAAACUCUGUUAUUAGGGAAGAACAUAUGUGUAAGUAACUGUGCACAUCUUGACGGUACCUAAUCAGAAAGCCACGGCUAACUACGUG